GACGAACGCUGGCGGCGUGCUUAACACAUGCAAGUCGAACGGAGUGGCGAACGGGUGAGUAACACGUGGGUGAUCUGCCUUGCACUUCGGGAUAAGCUUGGGAAACUGGUUCUAAUACCGGCAAGUGCAAGAUGAGCUCGCGGCCUAUCAGCUUGUUGGUUGGGUAAUGUCGUACCACGGGGUCGACGGGUAUCCGGCCUGAGAGGGUGUACGGCCACAUUGGGACUGAGAUACGGCCCAGACUGCUACGGGGGGCAGGAGGGGUGAAUAUUGCGCAAUGGGCUGAAGCCUGAUGCAGCGACGCCGCGUGUGUGAUGAAGGCCUUCGGGUUGUAAACUCCUUUCGACAGGGACGCGGUACCUGUAGAAGAAGCACCGGCUAACUACGUGCCAGCCGCCGCGGUAAUUC
rnacentral:rRNA from 1 species